UUCUUCUGGGAAUUACUUACAGAAGAUGUAUUUUUUCAUCUGUGGCACAAAACCCAUUUUUCCCCUUUAUUUCCGCCCUCUGAGAAAGUCCUUGGAGUAAUAGGUAAAAUGUCAGAAAUAAUUAAGAAAAAUACUGAUAUACACUGUGGCAGAGAAUUAUACCUUUUGAGAUGGUCAUUGCCAUCAUCUGUAAUCAGUCCCCUGACAGAUAUAAAUAUCAGCUUUAUCACCUUGUUUUAGAUGAUGAUGUCUUGAAUCAAUGUUGAUGAAGACUAUAUUUUGGCAACUUCAGUUAAAGGAAAAGAAUAGUUUCAAUUGCGAAGCAGACAACGUAAGUUCAAAGUAGAGCAAGUACCUGACACAGAAUACAGACAUUCCUUUAUAUAAUAUCUAUUUAAUCCUGUUCAUAAAAAAUCUUUCUCAUAUGAGAAAAGGGAGGACAAUAGCACAGUUCUGUCUCAAAAAAAUUCUGACUAAGAGCUUGUUUUUUGCUUGGCGUGGAGACCGUGUAUCCAGUGAGUACCAUGCCCAGGAGCAAUGUCUUUUACUUUCUGGGCUAAGUGGCUAUUUGGAUUAUUAGGUGUUUAUGUCCUUAAGAAAGAACCUUUUUGUCCUGCAUCUUAAAAGAAAAGAUCAUAUUUAUUUUCAGGGGAAAUGUAUCAUGACUAGAUUUAUAGUACCAUGUGCUCAAAGAUCAAAUUGCAUGACUACAAGCAUUUAUAUUUUUAUUUAUAGGAAAUAAUAUAAAGAAGCAAGAAGUUUAUGUGCAGCUAAAGUGUUUGGCAUUUAUCUUUUUCAAAAUGCAUUAGAAAGGCAAAUGGACUUGGAAUGCCAGUUAAAAAGCUAGAAUCACUCACUGUAAUUUAUUACUUUUUACAUUUAGGUAGAUUCGAAGUACAAGUUAUAGUGCCUGCAGUUCAACUGCUCUACUAUAUUUUAUGAAGUACAAGAUAGCAAUUGGUUGCAUAAGGGACUAAAGAUUUGGUACUAAAUCCUCUUCAACUUUUAAAUACUACUUCUGUAUUCUUUGAUUUUUAAAAAAUGCCUCAACAGCUAUGUCUAUAUAGUAAGUGUGUACCUUAACCUGCUUUGGAAUGGAUCUCUAUAUAAAAAGCCAUGUAUCCACAUGCAAAUCUCUGUAGAUCACUCAGCAUUUUCUGGACCUCAGGAAUUCUAGGAUAUUGGGACAGUGCUCAGGGCCAGAAUUCUCAUGGUCUACGUUACACUUAAAAGUUAGCUGGGUCCCAAGUCCUCAACAGGGGCAUGCUUCACAUGAUGGACAAUCCCUCAAGUGUUUAAGUGAGUGUAAACAAACUAAUCUGCUCCCUCAAAUCUUUCAUAUAAAAGCUACAUUCUUCCAGAAACUUUUCUAGAAUUUUUCUGGUAUGUUUUGACCUCUCUUUCUCUACCUUUAAAUUUCUUUUCUCCUUCUCUAUCUAUUCAAAGCAAAACUAUCAAAGGAACAAUUAUCCAAUAAUUAUUAUUAUUAGCAUCACAGAUCCAGCAGGUCUCUGAUGACAAGCAAUAUCUCAGUGUUCAUUUUCAUUACACAUGUAUGAAAAUCCACUGAAGCUGACUUGGGGAAGUCUACACAUUGCUGCCUUCAUAGAAUUCUGUAUUCUGGAAGCAUGGAAAAGUUCUUGAUGCCUGAGAUGUGCAUGGACUCUCAUGGAACAUGAUAUGUGAAUAUAAUCGAAUAUGGGUAUCAAGGAGAUAAAGAGUAUGUUGUCUUUUCAUGUAAAUGUAUCAGCAAAGUCCCCAGAAUUAAUUUAUGGAAGCAGUAAGGAAAACUGACAGAGCAUAGCAAGGCUGGAGACUUUUUCUCGUUGCUCAGCAGACUGUGUUGAGUGGCUGAGCUCAGCAGAGCACCGCACACAGUCAGUUAAAAUUAUUGGCAUCACCUGAAGGUUAUUGUAAUCUCUGGAAGACUGCCUGUCAUGUGGAUAGGUUUCACACACAAUAUGAUGUGUGGUAUGUAGCAAGUUUUGCAUGUUUUCAGUAAGAAUGCAAACCCAAGAGCUGCAGAGCAUAUCUGUGCAGAAAUAGCUAAGGAGUAACAAAAUAUUGCGUCCUGGUGCCCCAAAACCUGGUUCCACUGGAGCUUCUGCGAAUGCCCCUUAUCUUCACCUCACUGCCGGCUCCACACUGCUUUGAAACAAGCUCUGUCCAGCUGACAUUGCAAAGGCUGAGUCUGCCUUUGAAUUUUAGCUUGGAUCAGAUGGGAACUUUUAAAGUAGGUCUUGUGAUCAUCUCCAUCAUUUAUGCUUUUGCUCAUGUUGAGGAACUGUCUCAAGUGCAUGAACUGGAAUUAAUUUUAAAUAAAAGUACACCAGCUAGAUCUGAUAUGCUCAAAAUAGAAAUAGGUACUUGGUCUGUGGGAUUAAACAAAGGAUAGUCCAAAGUGAAAAUAAAUAAAUUAAUUAAAAUUUCUUGUAAGGUAGAUUUCUGGUCCUCACUGUCAACUGUUUUGCUCUGAAAAUCUUCUUCCUCUAGUCUGCACUGUUUGCCAAUGUGGAUGUAGCCUUAAGGUUCAGCUAAGCUUUUUUUUCCAGUGUAAAAAGAUCUUUCUGAUGGCUUCAGAAAUUGUUCAGUGUAUCUGUGGUUCAUGUUCUUAAAGUGUGAAAUGAAGAAGAUAAUACUUAACCAUCUUUAUCAAACAGUACACAGAUGAAAGCCCAAGCAAGUCCAAAGUGUAGUAAUAUUUUAGCUGUUACUACAUCUCCAGGAUCCUCAUACAAUUCUCUUUAAUAUAUAUAUAUUUUUUAAAGUUGCUUAUCUGAACGGUAAAAAUACACCAAAGUUGAUGGCAGUGCACAUAACCAAAUCCUCUUAAUAUAAGCUCUGCUUGGUUUCCCAUAUGAUUUUUAGUGCCUGGUUUAUGGAUCAGUUUCCACUGAAAUACUCCUUAUUUGUGUAUUUAGAAAGGUGAAGGAGAACAGAAGCUUCUCUUGGGGUAGCAGACAGUUGCUAAAUAAAUUUCUACUAAGUAGGUGCACUGUCACCCUAAAUGGGGCAUAAAUAAUGCAUCAAAUUUUAGAAAUAAUGAUCUUAACUCGGGCAGAUUGGUGCUGUGAAUGUUUCGUGAGAAAACAAAACCACAACGUUUUGUCUUUUGUUUCAGCUGUUUUAAUAAUGCUCAAAUUUUUUUCAGUGAGGACUUCAGGUCAAUUGGAUUGUUUCCAUUGAAUUGAGAAAAUAAAUAAAUAAAUAAAUAAAUAUCCAAAUGAAAAUAUAUUUAGGUGGGGUUUUUCCUCUUUUUGAAAAAACAGAGGUACUUAGUACACAACAUAGGAAUUGCUUAAUACACUGGGAUAUCAAUCCAUUUUUGUGGAAUUGCAAGAAAGCAUGAUAAAACACAAUUUGCUAUUACUGUUGUUGGCAGUACUUUGAACUGGUGAAAGAUGCGUUCCUUAUUAUUCAGAGGUAUUUUACUUUCUGUGUUAAUAUAUGACAAAUAUACAACCAGUUCUGUAAGUCCUUGAAAGAUUUGAGAUUCCCUUCAGUAUUUUAAAAUUAGGUUUGAGCCAUCCUAAGUUUCAGCAUGAGUUCUCAUUGGCAGCAUGAUGUUAAUAAAUCAUCAGAGCUGCAUUGAUCAACUGGCUUAUUUAACACUGUACAAACAGCAAGAACUUAAACUGGGCCACAAGCCCCACUCUUUGCCAUUAGGAAAGUUAAUUAUUUCACACUGACAGGUUAUUAAGUUCCCUCUAGCCCCAGAGUUAAUACGAAAAAUAUUUAGAAGAGAUUCUUGGGCAAAGAACAAGUUGGGUCACAUCUGACCCCAGAUGGAGCUGAUCUGUUCCAGGUGAGACCCUCCCUGCUAGCUCUAUUCAGAGCCUCAGCUUCUACACCUGAAAAAUGGGGGAAAUUAUCUUGACCCUCACAAUGUGGUUACAGAUUUACUGGGUCCCAUUCAUUUCAAUCCAUUUUCUACUCCUGUUGUAGGAUAGUAUUUCCCAAGUGUUGUAAUCUUUAAGCAAUUAUCUUAGACUUCAGUCUGACUCGGCUCAUUACAUGUUUCUCUGGUUUCCAUUCCCUGCUCAUCUUUCUUUGAUGUUGCAUUUUUAUACAUUACUUUCCCUACAUGCACUUGUAGGAUUCAGCCUGUAUUGGCCUUAUUAAAACUUUCACCAUCUUCAUAAUGAACCGGCUCUGUUUUCUCAUUUCAUGUAAUGAAAAGAAACCACUGUCAAAUAGCAAACAUUAAUGGCACAAAUUUCUGCAUCUCACUAAACAGAAACACUUAGAUCAUCACCUGAUACAUUUAGUGCAAUUUGAUCUAACACUAUCUUCUUCAAAACACCAGCCUGGUAUCUAAAUUAGGUCUUAGAUUAGAAUUGUCAUCAAGUCUCUUUCCUUUAGGGAAAAACAGAAAUAUUUGGAAAAUAAUUCAGCCUAUAUGAGGCAAAUCAUUAAAUACAAGAUGAAGGUAUGUGAACAUGAAGCAUGAGGAGCAGCUACAGACCCCUGGAUUCCUGACUUCACAUCUUUUUCAGAAGGAACAUCCACAUAUGCCAUAUUCUUCAGCCUGCCAAAAAGGUAAUGCUGAGAAAAUAAGAAAAAGGGACCGAAGAUCAUGACUGCCAUGGAGAUGAACAAGUGUCCACUAUUUUUUCUGAUACCAGAAGUGUGGGGAUUAAAUGAAGGCAACAUGCACAGCCUCAGAGGGGACCAAGAUGGUUCUCCACAGUGCAAGCCUGCAUGCUCUGAGUACUGAUCCUUUAUGGAGCAGGUCAGUAGGCAACUGGAGAAGUUUGUGGAAGAGAAAUUCAUCAAGGCCUGCUAGUGGGAAGUCUCUAAGCUGCAAAUUUUUGGAGGCUGGCAAAGUUUUCUGGGUAAAUAUCACUAAAUGUUUCUUCCUUGCUUGUACUAACUCCCAGUCAUCCCCUUGGUCACUGUUAAGGCCAGCAGGGCUGAACACACAUCUUGCACAAGACAUUGUAAGACCUCUUUUCUGAUAUUCAGUACCUCAGCUGUCUGCAUUUGCUAGGUGGAGGGAAUAUGUGUCUGUUCACAAAGUGUGGUUAUGGGGUCCUUGUGGAGGAAGGGCUGUUCAGACUUACUCAUGGGCCCGCUCUGGCAGCCAAGUUGCACCUAUGCAUUAGCACUGGUUAAAGUUUCUAAUACAGCAUUAAAUUGAAUUUGAAAUGAAUGAGCUGAUAGAAAUGCUAUCUGGAUGGUCACAUUUCAGAUCAGCAAGACUGGAUUUCUUUUCAUUUGAGAGGACUCUGAUCUAAUUUUUCGUCUUGCCACCAGAUUUUUAUUUCUCCCAGUCGUGGAUGUAUUGAGCUACAUCCUGGUAAAACACACAAAUAUUUUCUAACUGCAAACCAUUGUGUUUCAGUGGUCUCAGCUUUUCAGAUUGUUAUCUGCAACUGUUAUUACUAUGCUAUUGUAACCACCACUUUUUUCCAGAUUGAAUGUGCUGCUAUUUGAACUCUGAUCCCAUGGAUAGACUGUGAGCAGUGCCUUUAGUAGGAUGGCAAAUGCUGUGCUGCUAAACCACGGCCAUAAAAUGGGAAUUGUUUCUUUGUAUACAAUGACCACUGAAAAAAGAAAAUAAGCUAUAGUUUUUUACUAAUGGAUGAAUUUUGUGAAUUAAAAUAUUUAACCAUUUUAAAGCAUGGAGUGUGGAUGUGCUAAGUUGUUUGUGGGAUUGAAUUUCUAAUAACUUUUUUAAUUGGAGGUUGAAUUCAAUGGUGCAAAUUGGGAGAUCUUAAUAAGCAUGUAAACCACUAAUCACACCACUAGGCAGAUCUUGAUGUAUCUUCAAUAAUUAAUUCAGGCAGAUAUCCUUAAAUAAUUCAGUGAUUUUUAAUUAAAGAAAAUAGGGUAUUUAGUUGAUUUUUUUAGUCUGGGGAAUAUUUAUCAACAUGAUUCCAUGCCUUUACUUUUCUCUAAUAUUUUUUCUUUCCCUGCUUGUUAUUUUAUGACUUUUGGAUUCUUUCUUAGUUAAAUAUUUUUCUAAGAGCAGAGACUUUGAUUUGUAAAUGUGAAUGUGAUCAAUAAAAACUUAUGGCUUCAAAGUGUCCUUAUUUAUAUUUAAAUCCUUCCUCUCACCUGCUGUUUGCUGCUUUUUAGUUAUGUCACCAUUCCCACUGGAGCUCAAAAAAUUUAGCUGGUCCUCUCUAAACUCCCAGACAUGUUCUUUUCCCAUGUACUCUUCCGUCCCUGCAGCUUCUGAUGUAAAACAGAUUUAAGUUUGCGUAGAGCAGAGGUCAACAUGAAAGCUUAAAACAAAACAAAAAAAAAAAAGCUGGCAUUCAACUUCUAGCUCUGGUUCUUAUUAUAACUCAAAGCUCUAUUUUAGUAAUUUAAAAAUGGUAGUAUUGUUCUACAUCCAUAACCUACCUUUAACCGAGUUUCUUAAUGACUGUGAUGCCCAUUUUAGAUAAACUUCUAGACUGGCUGAUGAGUAUUUGGAUGAACUGCAGGCAGUUGUGCCACAAUGGUAAAACUGACAAUUAUUUUUCAAAAUGAUCUGUGUGAAGUUUACAUUUAUUUUGCUUUAGAUUAUGGCCAAGAGCAAAGCUUUGAACUCAUUUCUCCUAUUCCUGAGUAGUUAUUUGCAAAAUCAUUACUUUGGUGAACCUUUUAUAUGGGUAUUGGGAGCAGUGGCUACAUGAGAUCCCUUCAGUGACAUAUUUCCUAAAAGUUUAUUGCCAAGUGCUUCAAAUAUUUAUUCUUUUUUUUUAAGCAGACCAACUUUUUCUGCUCUGUAUUUUGUACUAUCACAUCCCUUUCUGUAAGGCUCAGUAAAUAAUCGUGAGUUAAGCGUUGAAUGAGGAUUAAAUGCUGCAUGUUACAGCUCAAUGUGUUAGUCCAUUUACCAGUGUUGUAUACACAUACCCAGCCUUCUGCAUUUUUCAGUGUUAAUCAGAUGGAAAUAGCAAUUGGAGGUGCAAUUCAGUGUUGUGCUUAAGGUCAUUAAACCCUGUGGUAAUGGGUAAAUCCAGAGCCUGCUGUGGCCUUACCAGGCAAUUUGGCAAAGAAAUCAGUGCUAUUUUACUGAUACGAUGCGAGCCGGACAAUGACUGCAUCCCUGCUAAGGGACAAAGCCCCACUGUAUCAAUUUGCUGUAUUUUAACCUAUGUGGAACAUGUCCAAGGUGACGAGGAUCUAACCUGAGUGCCCCACAGCCUCUCCCCGUCUUGGGUGAGGAGUGUAUCCAGAACAGGCCUAGAGCUGCUCCUCAGUUAGUGCCAAGAGUGUUUGUCCUUCUGCUCUUCAGUUCAACAACCAUCUCAGGAGUAAAUUUCUGCUUUCAGUAAAAACUGCUUUUUUCACAGGAGCUUCAUUCAUGCAAGAUGAAUCCUGAGAUGAGAUAGAAAGUAAAGGAAGAUAUUCACUGUAAUAAUUAAUUAUAAAUCAAAAUAGAAAAAAAAAUUGUGAAGGUUUAGGCCUUAUCUGUAGUGAGUCUGAAAUCAGACUGAAGUUAGAAGGACACAAGAGGUAUGAGCCCCUUCAUGGGAGCUCAGUAAAGGCUGUAGUCUGUAGUCUGCAAAGUCUAAGACUAGGUGUCAGCUGUGAAUUUGGUAUUGAUUUAGCACCUCUUUUGCUUCUGGAUAAAAGUGACCAUUCUUUCUUCAAUGGUAAUUUAUUGCUCCUGUGGUAGAGAUGGAUUCUUUGUGGAGACAGAAGAUAGGGUAGAAUGUGGAGAGCAGAUUAAAAAGGCACUGGUGAAACAGAGUCCUCUGAAAAAGUGGAUGGAGGGGUUUUUACGUCUGAUAGCUAAAAAAACAUCAUGGCCCUAGGGCCUCCAAAUGUGUUUGAUUCUUUUGUGUGCAAUAAGGAAUUUGAGCUCUUUGAGCAUUUUGGGGAAGGUCAGGUGGUUAAUUUUGAAGUGUUUGCCACAGCUGUGUAAAUGUUAGAGAAUCCCAUGAGGCCUUGAACACAUAUUAUAAACUCAGGAGCUCUGAGGUGGGCAUUGUAAGAGGCAGGACUUUAUCACAAGAAAACUGCUGAUGGAAAGGGAGAGUCAUUUACAGAUGAUUCUGAGAUGGAAGGAAGGAGAGCAUAAACUGCCAUGCAAUUUGGAUCUUACAUGCCAUGGGAUAUUCAAGUAACAGAUAUCCUUUAGAAUCCACUGAAGAUUUAAGAUUAUUUUAAUAUUUCUCAUUCCUUGCUCAAGAGCUUUGUUAAGCAUGCCAAACAGUAGAAUAUUUUGGAAAUUUCAACAAAUGUUAUUGUUAACCCCAAAGUGCUUAAAAAUCAUGAAUUCAAUUUCAAAAAAAGCCUUAGAAAUUUAAAAUAAUAGAAACAAUACACGCAAUACAUGUUAGUGAUAAUGUGGCAUAUUUUCAAGCAGUCUCUGAUAUUAUUAAGAGUUAUAUACCUUGUCUUUUUAUUUUUAGACUUAAUAUAUUGUAUAUCCUCUAUUGUAACAGAAAAAGACUAAAUAACUGAGACUUGCAUAUAAUCUUAAUAUGGCAAUAUUGUCCAGAAGGCAGUAUUUUUCCUUCAAAUCUGGCAACCCAUCUUCACUCUUGUUUCCAUACUAAUUACUCAUCCACACUAUAGUGUGCUGAUUAAAGUCAGAAAACUAGAAUUUCCCGGUCCUAUUUCUACUCUUUUGCAUUACAAUACUGAAAUAUUGUAAUAUUCUGCUGCUCAUAAUCUUGAGGAUUUUUUAAAUGCUUUUCUUUUUUUUUUUUUUUUUGUGAUGAAAUCAGCAAAAAGAAAUUUUGAUACUCUCUGAUUAGAGAAGAAGGUGAUCAUAUUCAGUCUUGUGUAUGAUCAGUGGACUUGUCUGGGCAGUGUUAUAGUGUGAGAAUGGGCUAAACUGAAGAAUGUGGUAGAAGAUUUUAAAAUUAUUUUUGGGUUCAUGCAUAGGAAAACAAGAUUUAAAGCUUUGCAUUUCAAUGGACUUGCAAUUCUUCCUUUGCAAAUACAAGAUACAGCCCUGAAACUACUACAGGUCUUCAUCUGAAUAUUAGAUCACAUCCUGUUGAAAGAAACAUUCUCUCAAGAAUGUUGUUCAUUGGCUAAAUUUUCAUCAUCAUCAUCAAGGGCUCAGGUAAGAGUUCACGUGCUUUUGAACUCCUCAUAUUCAAGAAAUUGUUGCAUAGAAAUAUGGCAAUGCAUUGCAUUUUGUUUGCUGGAGACUCAGAUUCUGUCCCCCUUAUUGUCCUUCCAUAAUUACUUCACAGAGGAUCACCAAAAUAAAUAUGAGUAUUUACGGAGAGUUGGCUGUCUCCACUCAUAAGCAGGACAAUCAAGACACUAUUAUUUUCAUGAAAAUUCUUUUUUAUGCUUAAAAAGCUGCAUUAUAUUUACUUAAACCUUUUUUUUCCCCUCCUUUUUUCUUCCCUUGCAGUUGGAGCUAAGUGAAAAUUCUGUCUUCAGAAUCUCAAGUUUCAAAAGCAGCAUAACUCUGGAUUUUGGAUGGUCUGGCUUCCUUUUCCAGGGAUGUGUCAAGUCCAGUAUUUCAGUGUGAAACACUGAUGUGACAGACUGCCAUAAUGCAAUGUGUUUAACCACCUCAAUGAUGCGUCAAGUGAAAGGAGUUCCCAAAGAUUCAGUUCACACAUGCACACACACACAAAAAAAUGAGGGGUAAACAGAAUGGGAAGCGGAACAUAAAUCUUUUUCACAUAGUUUGGCACAAAUUCAAUUAUAAUUUGUAAAUGUUCAAUCAAUUAGACCACUCAGUUGUUUAACUUAUAACUUUGAAGGCAGAUUAUCUUUUCCAAGAGGAAAGCUUCUUUUAACCAAGACCUUUUAUGUUAACUGCUCCAGAAGGAAAAUGCUACAUGAAUAGGGAUUCAGGAGAAAAGUGUGUAAUACCAGGAUGUCUUUGGCUGAAUUUCAAGAUUUUCGUAGGAACAGGCUAACCUUUAAAGUGCCAAAUGACACACAAACACUCCCCAGCUCAGAAGAAAAAAGAAACCCAUGCUUUUUUGCCCCUUACACUAGAAAUAGUAAUCUAGUGUCUUUAUAAUGUGUAAUAUUUAUAGUGAUAAUUUAAUAUUAGUUGCAGGUACAUUUGGAAGUUGAAAAAAAUGCAUAAAAGCCCAUUACUUUGUCCUUAAUUUUUCAGAGUCUCACUUUAACACUGGUUUUACUCAUAGCCUCUUUAAGUUCAAAACCUGUCAAUUCCCAUAAAAAGUAUCGUAGUCUUCAUACAUUAUCAAUAGUUGCUUCUCAAACCUCGGGAAUUGCAGUUGCAUGGCUUAGCUGGCACCUGGGUGCCAUGGAGGGAAGACUUAUAAAUAUAGAGAUACAGAAAACGAAGAACAAGAAGGGAAGGAGAUCAAUACCAGGUGAUACACAACGUGCACUGUUGUGUUUUUUGAGUUCCAGCUUUGUCAUCAGGGCUGGAAGAACCCUUGUUAAACCUUUUUUCCUGCUGCAGGUGCAGAGAGCGGGAACACUGGUGGGUUUGGCAGUCCUGUGAUGGCACCAGAAGAAACACUGACACAGUGAAGCUGGAGGUCAACUGAUCAUGUUCAGAGACCCUGGUACCUGCUCAUUUCCUGAACAGGAAACUGUUGACUUUCAUCUCCUCACUACCGCAGGUAAUCAGGGUGACAUUACUGCCGGCACAAAAAUGACAUCUCGUCAUCAGAAAUUUUCUUCAUUGGCAUGGAAAAUGCCAGGCACAUCACCUCUGACUGUGUGGCCACCACAUCUAUUAACCUUAUUGAUUUGGAGUCACGCUGUGCCUCACUGGAAAACUACUCCCUGCUGAAAGACUCAAGUGGAUCAAUCCUGAACCGUGAACAAAAACUCAAUAACUAAAUGUGGUAGGCACCUUUCUCCAUUAAGUAUUCCUCAAAGUAAAUCACAUUAGAGAACAUCACUGUGAGUAACUUACCUUGGGAUUCCAUGAUCUCCCAGAAACUAACAGGGAAAAUAGCAAAAUAGGAAGGCAAAAGAUUGCAUAUUGCUAAACAUAUCUCUCAAUCUUGUUCUCAAAUGUCUAUCUUUCUAUCAUGAUAUUUUAAUUUUAUUCUACAACUCUGUCCCCCUUUCUAAACCUUAAAAAUUUUUCCUUGCUGUUUGUUUUUCAUUAUGUUUGUCCCUGGUAAGUCAUCUGAUGACAGAUGAUUAUGAAAAAGAAAGUUUUCUAUCCUUUAUGAACUCUUCAGCAUUUUCACGUAUUUAUCAGCAUUCAUUUUUGAGACCCUCAUUGUGACAGGGUUUGAAAAUGAAACAAGCCAUAUAAUUCCUUUCAGCCUCAUACAGUUAACAAAGAAGGCAACAAAAGGACUUCCAGAGCUUCAUAUUUCCUGGCAAAAGAUAGAGGACGGCAGCAAGCCCCAUUCAUAUUUAAAUGUUCCUGGCUUUGGAAUUAAAAGUCCAUCUUUCAUGUUACCAUUUCCGUUCCUCGCUUUUUGUUGGUGUUUGCUGGCUAUGAAAACUCUGUCCCAAACAUUAAUGUGACUCUUCAGUUCAGUCUGCAAAACUUCUAUUCUUAGAAAAUAUUCCUUGUCACAGACAACUGACAAUUUCUUAUACAGCACUUGCAAAUCAUUAUAGCUUAUAAUUAUCUUGCAAAACUGAUUUAGGACAAGAAAAGUGUGGGUGAAACCACUCUGUGCACAUGUGAGUAAUGACUGAUUAUAGCUGAAUAAGUUUUUUAAAGGGGCCAGAGGGACCCUUCUCAGAAAAAUUAUUUACAUGAGUAAGGGGUACAGGAUAGGAUCAUUUCUGUUGCUCAGUACUGCUACAACUUUGAUUUUGCUCAAGGGUCUGAUCUGAGAUCUUGACAGCUAAAACCUGCAAGCAAAGGGUUUAAUUUUGCAUUGGUUUUGGUGUUAAUGAACAGAGCAAAGUUCAUUAAAGAUACUCCUUGCACUAUGUUCAAUCCUGCCUGUCAUCUGUAUACAUAGUUGUAUUACAUAUUUUAAUAUUUUAUUUCAAAGAAAACUCUGGAUUCUGCAAAAAAGGGGAAAGAAAAUGCAAUGGCAUAUUAGAAAAUAUUAUCAGUUACUUGGGAAAAAGUGAUUUCUCAAAGCCAUGUAAAAGCCUGGAAAGUAUUCUUUUUAUUCCUUAGGAAAUAACCCUGGGUAUCUAAUUAAUAUCAUGAAAUUAAGGCCAUUUAUCUGAAAAACUGAAAAAAGAUCUAUAUAUGCACCAAAGUUCAGUGUUUGUCCCUGAGCUCUAACACAAGAUAUACUGUGUGAAAGUCUAACAUGGGAUACACCAUGUAUCAUCUCUAUUUAGAGCCCCUAGGCAGGAAGUAUGGAUAAAAAAAAUAAUCAAAAUUACUGUUUUUCUUUACUGAAAGCCCUCUAAGGAAUUCAUUGGAAUGAGUUCUGUCUGCCCAUCUAAUUGAUAAUUAUUUAAUUAGCAAUUUAUAAUGAUAAUGGGAUUUUACCCCCCACUAGUCCAUCUUGUCUGUAAGAAAAAUAUAAGUAGGCAACCUUAUGUAUUACUUUACCACUUUCGGCAGUUGGCACAAGAUAUUGUGGGCCAGCGUUGUGAUUUCCUACAGUUAAACCAUAAAAGCAAUGUAUUCAUAUAUUUCCUUUGCCCACAGUGUUUCCUUUUCUCAUUACCGUGGGUGACUGGCAUUCUCACAAUGUGUGUGGGUGCGCAGGCUUGUUGUGUCACCGUGGACAGUUCUAAGAGCAGCUUCAUUAGUUCUUUUUACAACAAAAGCUAGGGUUUUUUUCCUGCCUUCUCUUUCUUUCCCUUAGUUGGCAUGCGGGUUGAAUUCUUCUUGGACCCCCUGCUUGACUUUUUUUUUAGAGCUCCUUUUGAACAGUGCAGCAGUGUGAACACUAGGAAUUGUAACUGAUAGACUGUUUGCUGGAGAACUCAUGAAAGUUCUCUUUGUUCACUUCACAUCAACCAGGUUUAUGCAGACCCUCCCCCAUCUCAGGGAAAAGGAAAUCCACUUUUAAUUAUACAUUGAUGGGAAUCACUGUAUAGUGAAAUUGCAUCAAGUGGAGAAUGCCCACUUUAUUCUCUUUUAUCUAAGAAUCCAAAAGAAGCACUGGUGUAAAAAAAAAUGGAUAUGCAAGCAUAGACUUCCCAAUAUAGAGCCAGGCCUGCCUAAUUUAAAUCAAUCUGCCAACUCCACUUCCAGUCCUGAUUAAAAUUUUCAGCUGAAUCUUUGCACUGUGAGGGUGUCUUGUCUUUAGUCCUCGAGCCUGAAAGGUCUUCUUUUUGAGACCUUACUGAAAAAAAAUUCCAAAAACCAAUAUUCUUUAAUGUGAAAGGAAAGAGGUGUAAGCAUAAGAUAUUUUUUAAAUUUGAACUGAAUAUAGAUAUUUUUUCCCUUUUUUUUCCCUCAGACAAGCAUAUUGAAAUUGUGUAGAAGAAUCCUAAGGACAAAAAUAAAGGAGAUAUAGCUAGUGGCAGAAUGAAGAGAUUGCAUAACCUGGUGAGAAGUAUAAGUAAAUAAGAGAAGCACUUUGUGUCAUUUUAUGUUGUUGUGCCCAGUGAAAUGAAUGGAAAAAUUUUCAGCAGUACUUACAGGGACCUCUGAGAUUAUAAAUCAUUUGAGUAAUCUGCUAAUAAAUAUGUAAAGUUAAUUUUCUCUCUUUCUUAAAUUAAUAUCACAAGAUACCAUUAAUAGAGACAACGAAGCAGGAUAUUCAGCUGUACUGUGUAUACUAUCAAAGUUUACUAUGGUUAUGUUUGUCUUUUGAAUCUUCCAGUACAAAAAGGAAAUACCGGCAUUUUUCUCAGAUAUUUAGAAAAGAAAUAUUUUUGAAAUUGUUCUUGGAGAUCUUUUUUUUAUUCUUAAAUAACUUUAUCUUAGUUGUUCCAAUUCAUUUAUUUUAUACAAUUUAGUACCUGGUUUUUUUAUAUUUCCUGACAAAAAAAAGUUAACACCUGUAAAAGAAGUGUUGUGAAGACCAAAGAAAAAGCAGCCUGCCUAGAAACAUUGUAUGAUUCUGCCCAUAUAUGUUUAAGCAGACUCAUGUAAAGGGAGUUGGGUAAGACAAAAAUGUUCUCCAUGGAUAUUAGGAGGAAUUGGGGCCUGGCAAAUGAAAGAAGGUGAUGUUGCUAGAUCUUACCUCAAAAUCCUGAUUACCUUAAGGUCAAAGAUGUCGCUGUUGUGGCGGUCAUGACACCCAUGGACAGUGCCUCUUUCAAGGGCCAAAAACGCCGUUUAUUAAACAAAGCAGCCUCUUUUAUACACCUUUUGUAUGUUAUCAUUCAUGUUACAUAUUCAUUGGCUGCUAAACUACUACAAUAGACUCAUUGGCUGUUACUAACGACAACAUACUACCAUUGGCUACCUGUGGCAUAAGCAUUUAAACACUCAGAAAAAUAACAGGUGCAGAUAUGUUGCUGUUUUCUCCUUCUACUGUUUAACUUUCUUGCUUCUGUUGAUACUACAUUCUCAUGGGUAAAAACUAAUUGUUUUUCUUCUCACGGACUUUUCUCACAGUCCUUCCCUAGCCAAAGUAACAGGCCUGAGCCAUGAUUUUACAAAGGCAACAAGGCCUUCAUUUUAUAAGGUUUUGCUUAAAUGCCACACAAAGACAACAGUGCAAUUCUGUCUCGCAGCAGCACCACGAACGUGUUGAGCUGGACCCUUGUCUUAGGGAAACAAAUCUGUGCACUACAUCCAAGUAGUACGUAGGAAUACUCCAUCCAGUUUCCACCACCAGUACUGGAUACCCUCCUCUGCUGCAUGGUCAAGUCAAAAAUGAAUGACUAAUAAUUCUUUUGGCCCCAUUCAGACUUCUACUCCUCUACUGUCCCACAUUAUCCCAGAUUUUCUUCCAAGAACCUUCAAGUGUAACUUUAUUUCUCCCCCAGCAAAGGUCUGAACAAGAGAAAAGCAUGUGGAUAUAGCCAGGGGGGAUGAGGAGCUGGAUGAGGCAGAGAUUAAAAAUUACGUAGUCUUGAAGGAACUGACUUGGAACUAAUCCAUGACAAAUCUUCUAGUCUAGGAUAUCCAGUACAAAACAGCUGUGAGCCUGGUAAGUCUCCUCUGAACUUCAUUUCUUUACUCAUCUGCAGUUCUCUAAGUCAUCUACAGAUAUGUGUAGUGACAGAGAAGUUCUAAAAUGACCAGGAGUUUUCCACAGCAAUUUUUAUUUAUUUGUUGGGGCCAUGAGUUUCCAAUUUGAACAUAAGGCUGGGCCCAAGUCUGUAAGAUUACAUGAGUCUCUCCAUCAGGGGUCUGCUAUGCCGCAAUGGGAACACCAUAAUUUUCCAAAUGGUCAUAGUUUCAAAGAACAAGGAAAACAGGAGACAUUUAAGAGCUAAAUACUAAAUAUUUUGGAUAUUUUUUGACAAAACAAAGCACUUUGUGAUGUUAUACCACAUAAGGCGACUUGAAAAGGUUCAUUAAUCCUCAGGAAAGAAAGGAAAGACUUUUAAAACACAAACCUCAGUCACAUCCCAGGACUAAAUCUAUUAUUCAGAAUAGGAAGCAAGUCAGCUUCCAGCCAAAUGAGAUUUCACUGCAGCCAACCAUUAAAAGACACAGAAGCAUGGAAAUUGAGGCCAAAGUAGCUGGGGAGACUGAUCCAUGCAAAGGAGCCUCAAGAAAAAGACUACAGUGGAACAACUGAUGCACAGCAGGAAUUGCCUGGAAGUGGUGCCUCUCUGCCUGCUGUGAAGGAAUCAUCCAGAGAGAAAAAGAUGGGAAUGGAACUGACUUGGGAAAGGCUGAAGGCAGGAGCCUGAGAAUCAAAAAGGUAGCUUAGAAAUAUGGUAAAAAGUAAACCUUAGGUUUGAUUGUUCUGGUUUGCUUCCUUUUUACAUCCAUACUGGAGGUUAUUUAAGAGUCCUCAAAGACCAGUCGAAGGUUUGCUGCUGAGAAUAAAGCCACUGAGAUGGGUAAUGUUCUUACAAUAAAAGAGUCAAAAAAAAGUGGGAACAUUUUCUUGUCAUGACUUCGUUGUCUGGAUUCUCUACAGCUCUCCUAGAAUAGACCAGGGCCACUCCUGCUUUCAGUGAAGUUGCUCAUUCAUUUACUCCCUCAUUCAGUUUAGAAUCAGGACAUUUUUUCUUUAAAGUUCAGAAAAAUGUAGUUCAGCAAGUUUCCUUCUGUGGAGAACUUAGGAUCACUCUUUAAGAGAAAAGCCCUUGAGACAGACGUGCUUUAGUUGGAGUUCUGCUGAACUGAAUUUGCACAUUAAGUACUGUACCUUGCUCUUGCUUGCUGAAGCAUCCCUUAACACUACAUGUGUGUAUAAAUAAAGGAAAAUGGGAUACAACCUCA